GAUGAACGCUGGCGGCGUGCCUAAUACAUGCAAGUCGAGCGAACAGACGAGGAGCUUGCUCCUCUGACGUUAGCGGCGGACGGGUGAGUAACACGUGGAUAACCUACCUAUAAGACUGGGAUAACUUCGGGAAACCGGAGCUAAUACCGGAUAAUAUAUUGAACCGCAUGGUUCAAUAGUGAAAGACGGUUUUGCUGUCACUUAUAGAUGGAUCCGCGCCGCAUUAGCUAGUUGGUAAGGUAACGGCUUACCAAGGCAACGAUGCGUAGCCGACCUGAGAGGGUGAUCGGCCACACUGGAACUGAGACACGGUCCAGACUCCUCCGGGAGGCAGCAGUAGGGAAUCUUCCGCAAUGGGCGAAAGCCUGACGGAGCAACGCGGCGUGAGUGAUGAAGGUCUUCGGAUCGUAAAACUCUGUUAUUAGGGAAGAACAAAUGUGUAAGUAACUAUGCACGUCUUGACGGUACCUAAUAAGAAAGCCACGGCUAACUACGUG
rnacentral:rRNA from 1 species